rnacentral:rRNA from 1 species
GACGAACGCUGGCGGCGUGCUUAACACAUGCGAGUCGAACGGAAAGGCCUCUUUCGGGGGGUACUCGAGUGGCGAACGGGUGAGUAACACGUGAGUAACCUGCCCUUGACUUUGGGAUAACUUCAGGAAACUGGGGCUAAUACCGGAUAGGAGCUCCUGCUGCAUGGGGGGGGUUGGAAAGUUUCGGCGGUUGGGGAUGGACUCGCGGCUUAUCAGCUUGUUGGUGGGGUAGUGGCUUACCAAGGCUUUGACGGGUAGCCGGCCUGCGAGGGUGACCGGCCACAUUGGGACUGAGAUACGGCCCAGACUCCUACGGGAGGCAGCAGUGGGGAAUAUUGCACAAUGGGUGGAAGCCUGAUGCAGCAACGCCGUGUGCGGGAUGACGGCCUUCGGGUUGUAAACCGCUUUCGCUCAUGACGAAGCUUUGUGUGACGGUAGUGGGUAAAGAAGCACCGGCUAACUACGUG